CGAAGAAGCAUCUUUCCUCCUUCUCACUGGUGUCUUUCGUCGAAUAAGUUUUGCUCUCUUUCACUGGAUCGUGUUGAAGUAGCUCUGGAUCGUGUCUCUCGCCAAUGUAGCUCUAUUCUCUGUCACCUGAUCAUGUCGAUCGCGUCUCUUACUUGAUCUCUGCUUAUAUCUGUUCGAGUAACACACAUAGUCAGGCUUUGAUUUGUGGGGAGGAAGGCAAAAUUUGGAAGGUCUAUAGCACUUGAUUAAGGACAUUCACUUGAGAUUACUGCAAAUUUGGAAGAAUUGUUUUGGAGCAUUAUAUGGAACUAUUAAUGGCAAUUUGCCCCGCACGACCCGAUACCCACGGUGCACAGCCUCUAACGGGGUAGUUUUUUCUCGAACAAUUGGAAUUACAGGACAAGCUUGGGGCAAAGGUUUAAAAUCUGAAUCAGGGAUGGGCCGAGGACGAGGAAUAAACAUCCCAACUCGAACCCGGCCCGGUAUAUAUAUUUAUUUAUUUAUUAUAAUUUCAUUUAUGUAAAACAUCAUUUUCUUCUUUUCUUAUAAGCUCCAACAAUAAACCUUCAACUUUUAUCGCCGAGAUCGAUAU